GCCCGGGUGUCCAGCCGGCCCUUGCCCUGCCUGGCGCUCGGACCGCCACCUUUGCCGCCCCCUCGCCAGCCUCCGCAGCUUCCAGACUGGCCGGUCUGCGCGCCCACCCCUGCCUCCCGGACCGGCCACAGCCGGAGGCCGCGGAGGAGGGCCCGGCCGCGCAGAUCCCGCUUAUCGGGCCCAUCUCCCGUUACAUAAGGCCACCCCCCUAUCUCCGCGGGCCAUCGCCGCCGCAACCGCCGCGCCAGCGCCUUCUCCCACGCGCGGGGGCGCCCCUGCCCACCGCUCCCGGCAGGGCUUUUGGUGGCCAUGGGGGAUAACGCGCGUUGACUCACCCGGGCGGGGCUCCGGGAGUUGCACAGACCAAGGCAAAUGCCGUGGCCUCUGCUGUGGGGGUUUCUGGAGGACUUCUAGGAAAAUGAGGGAAGAGCAGGAAAAGGCGACAUGGCUGCAGGGGCCAGUCCCAGGAGCCGCCCUCCACAGCACUCAUUCUGCAGAAGGGAAAUUUGAGGCCCCCAGAUGGCAGGGGUUGAUCCUGCAGAGACUGGCUCCGCUCUGCAAUGGCAGCAUGGUAUGGAGCAUCAACCUGACAGCUGGCGUGUACUGUGCAGCCCUGGAAUCCCUGAUCAACGUGUCAGGCUGCAGUGCCAUCGAGAAGACCCAGAGGAUGCUGAGCGGAUUCUGCCCGCACAAGGUCUCAGCUGGGCAGUUUUCCAGCUUGCAUGUCCGAGACACCAAAAUCGAGGUGGCCCAGUUUGUAAAGGACCUGCUCUUACAUUUAAAGAAACUUUUUCGCGAGGGACGGUUCAACUGAAACUUCGAAAGCAUCAUUAUUUGCAGAGACAGGACCUGACUAUUGAAGUUGCAGAUUCAUUUUUCUUUCUGAUGUCAAAAAUGUCUUGGGUAGGCGGGAAGGAGGGUUAGGGAGGGGUAAAAUUCCUUAGCUUAGACCUCAGCCUGUGCUGCCUGUCUUCAGCCUAGCCGACCCCAGCCUUCCCCUUGCCCAGGGCUCAGCCUGGUGGGCCUCCUCUGUCCAGGGCCCUGAGCUCGGUGGACCCAGGGAUGACAUGUCCCUACACCCC
rnacentral:sRNA from 1 species